rnacentral:rRNA from 1 species
UUGGUGGGGUAACGGCCUACCAAGGCCACGACGGAUAGCCGGCCUGAGAGGGUGUCCGGCCACACUGGGACUGAGACACGGCCCAGACUCCUACGGGAGGCAGCAGUGGGGAAUAUUCGACAAUGGGCGCAAGCCUGAUCCAGCGACGCCGCGUGAGUGAUGAAGGCCUUCGGAUCGUAAAGCUCUUUUGUUAUCGACGAAAGUGCGGGUUUUCUCAGAUUGACGGUAGGUGAACAAGAAGCCACGGCCAACUACGUGCCAGCAGCCGCGGUAAUACGUAGGUUGCAAGCGUUGUCCGGAAUUACUGGGCGUAAAGAGAUCGUAGGUGGUUUCUCGCGUUGAUCGUGAAAUCCCACGGCUUAACUGUGAGCGUGCGGGCGAUACGGGCAGACUUGAGUACUGCAGGGGAGAGUGGAAUUCCUGGUGUAGCGGUGGAAUGCGCAGAUAUCAGGAGGAACACCGGUGGCGAAGGCGGGUCUCUGGGCAGUAACUGACGCU